rnacentral:rRNA from 1 species
UCUAAUAGUACAAAUAAAUUAUGUUGGUUUAGAUUAAGUGUAAUUUACUGUAUUACAAUAAUAAUAUUUUUUAAGUGAAAUUUAAAUUAUUAAAAAUGAUAUAAUAAAAGCUGAAAUUCUGUAAAUUAAAAAUAAAACUAGGAUUAGAUACCCUAUUAUUUUAAUCUAAUUUUUUUCUUUAUCAUUAAUAGAUAUGUUCUUAAAAGUAAAAAAAUUUGGCGGUAUUUUUUCUAAUUAGAGGAACCUGUUCUAUAAUUGAUAGUCCACGAUUUUAUAUACUUUUUUUAUUUUUACAUAUCGUUGUAAAGAAUAUUUUUUUAGAAUAUAUUUAGAAAUUAAAUUUUAGAUUAAUUCAGAUCAAGGUGUAGAUUAUAAAAAAGAAGAAAUGGGUUACAAUAAUUAAAAUUUUAGUUUAAUUUUUUUGAAGAAUUAAUAAAUUGGAUUUAAAAGUAAAUUUAUAUAUUUUUUUAAGUUGAUUAGAGUUCAAAAAU